AACAAACGUUUGUAAACCAUGUUUAAUAUUAAUUUUUGUGAUUCGUACAGCGUCAACCUGGGCUUUUACAACCUACAUGCAGGUCCAGGUCCAUGACUAUUCGAUUUUUGUCCUAUCAAUUUCAAAUUUCCUAUUAAAUUGAAUGAACCAUAGGCAAUCUCACAGUUGCACAAUAAAAAAAAACAUUCUGCUAAGGCUAUUGCAUCUCCUUUCAAGCCAUAACAAGACUUUCUUGACUUGACUGCUCUCUUUCUUUCCCAGUAGCACUUUUCAGGUUGGGCAAUCUCCAUCACCUCUAAAAUUCAUCCAAUAGUUAAGUAGAAGCUGUUUUCGGCAUAAACACCGUGGCAUCUCACCUGCCUCAACAUGCAGAGCGCACACAGGUUCUGGGCCUGCCUGUGGUUGUUAUUAUCUGGAUCCUCUGCUGCCUGGCUAUUUGGACCUUCUCUGAUCUGGACCUUUUGACACUGGAGGCCACUUCAUCGGUUCCUCUUUUGGAAGCUUUCACUUCCAGCCUCACCCAGUCAUAUCUGUUUCAGUUAAGUCUUUGGUCUUCUACUGCUUUAUUGGAAUUACUAACUUUAUUGAAACUCCUUAAAAAAUUCCAGUUGUUUCCAAUUUAUGUUUUCAGCUGUAGCUGCUCAUUUGGCUUAUUGUGAGUUAACUCUAUCAUAUAGCGAUUAUGACACAGCUUUUACACCCCUCAUCCUAUUGCAACUAUAAAUAGAACAUUAUAGAUUUAACAAUGCAGACUAAACCCCAUUUGACCUAGAUAAUCAUCCAUACAUUUCUGUUUCAUACAGGCUACUGCUUAAUCUGUUUGGGGUCACAG